rnacentral:precursor_RNA from 1 species
AAUCGUAGACGUACGGACUUAAUUGGAUUGAGCCUUGGUAUGGAAACNUACUAAGUGAUAACUUUCAAAUUCAGAGAAACCCGGGAAUCAAAAAUGGGCAAUCCUGAGCCAAAUCCUGUUUUACGAGAAUAAAACAAAGCAAACAAGGGUUCAGAAAGCGAGAAAAGGGAUAGGUGCAGAGACUCAACGGAAGCUGUUCUAACAAAUGGAGUUGACUGCCUUUUUUUGGGAAAGAAAGGAAAAUUAAUCGAAUAUCGAAACUGCAUAAAGGAUGAAGGAUAAGUCUAUAAUACACUAUGGAUACAAAAUGAAAAAUUAUCUCAAAAACGACAACCUGAAGCUGUAUUUAUAUUAAUGAAAAAGAAAACAAAAGAAUUGGGAUUCCAAGUUGAAGAAUCGAAUAUUCAUUGAUCAAAUCAUUCACUCCAUAGUCUGGUAGAUCGUUUCUUUUGAAGAACUGAUUACUCAGACGAGAAUAAAGAUAGAGUCCCAUUCUACAUGUCAAUAUAAAUACCGGCAACAAUGAAAUUUAUAGUAAGAGGAAAAUCCGUCGACUUUAGAAAUCGUGAGGGUUCAAGUCCCUCUAUCCCCCCAAAAAGACCGAUUUGACUAUUUUUCCUACCCUCUCUUUUUUUUAGUGGUUCAAAAUUCGUUCUCUUUCUCAUUCAUUCUACCUUUUUACAAACGUAUCAGAGCAGAAUUUUUUUUUCUUUUAUCACAAUCACAAGUGGUGUGGUAUAUAUGAUAUACGUACAAAUGAACAUCUUUGAACAAAGAAUCCCGAUUCACAAUUCAUAUCAUUGCUCAUACUGAAACUUAUAAAUUAUUCUAUUCAAGAAAUCGAAUUCCACGCUCAAGACUUUUAAUACUUUUUUAUCUUUUUAAAUUGACAUAGACCCCAGUCAUCUAGUAAAAUGAGGAUGAUGCGCCGGUAAUGGUCGGGAUAGCUCAGCUGGUAGAGCAGAGGACUGAAAAUCCUCGUGUCACCAGUUCAAUAUC